ensembl:lncRNA
GGCGGUCUGCGGCCCGGAAGUGGUGUUGCCGAGCCGGGACCCUGUUUUCCCAAGUCUGUUUCUCCGACGUCGGCCCUUAAAACCUCCCCAUUUUUCGGACUCACCGCCGGCUCAAGACUCCUUACAGACGAGUUAAAGUUACUCCCUAUUUUGGGAACCUGUCUUAGGGAACGGGUAAUAGAGGGUGUCCCACCUCACGGUGGAGUCGUUUCCAAGUCCAGUGACGCGAACAGUCUUUCAUCCUCAAGAAAAGGGAAGACUGAGACUCGAUGGAGUGGGCAGACGUCUAAAGUUAACCGAACGGACCAGAACUUGUGUUCACUGAUGAUUGGGGAGGUACCCUGACACCGACCUGGGCGUGGGGAGCAAGAAUCGCCACAUUGUCGCAUAUUAGAUUUUCUGACGUUCAAACUAAAAUUUCAUAGUAUUUUGUUAAGCUUGAGCCGGAUACAUAUGAUGGCAUAUAAAGAGCUAAGGUGCCCUCAAUUUAUUUUCAACAAUUUGGUGGAAAUGGUAACUGCUAAACCCUACUUAACGUUCACAUGUGCCACUUGGCUGUUCCAAAUCUGUGUGGAGGCCGGGUAGGGAAGGAUCUCUUUUAGGGCGUACAGCUGGUAUCGUUGCCCUGGUCUAAGCCCUUGGGCAGCACCUUCAGUGUGAAUUUUAUGUGGAUGGUGGCCUUUCCUGUGCUCCUGGCAUUGUUGUCCAUGUGAUUGUGAUGUUUCACCUGUAGGCCUUCCUAGUCUGCAUGUGAGCAGUUUGAGGCAAAAGGAAACAGGUACAGAUCAGGUGCGUCUCCCAUGGGAGACCUGAUUAUUCUCAGGAGCCUGGGCCAGGAAGGAAGGACUGCUGCUACUUCCUUCACCUGGAGAUUCAGGGGGUCCCCUUGCCUGGCAGGCAAGAAUACUAGAGUGGAUUGCCAUGCCUUCCUCCAGAGGAUCUUCCCCACCCAGGGAUUCAAACCCAUGUCUCUUACGGAUCCUGCAUUGACAGGGGGACAUCUCGCUCCUGAUGACCACAAGACCUCUGAAUUUUAAGCCGCCUCUGAGAGAUUCAAAGAGAAGCAUGAGCUUCCUGCAUUUGUGUCCCAUGUUUAUCCUUUGCAUGUCUUGCUGGCAGGUUCUGGAGCAAACCAAAUAAAAGCAAUCUUGAUCUAAACCCAAAUCAUCUUUUUC